rnacentral:rRNA from 1 species
CCUGGUUGAUUCUGCCAGCAAACAUACGCUUGUUUGAAAGAUUAAGCCAUGCAAAUGCAAGUUUAAGUAAAUUAACUGCAAGACUGUGAACGGCUCAUUAAAUCGGCGACAAUCUUCCCGAUUGUGAAAAUUAGUCGGAUAACGGUGCUAAAGUACCGCUAAUACGUGCUAAGAUCCGUGACUUGCCGCAAGGCGGGAAGCGGUGCACUUGUUGGCUAUGGACCAGUGGCGGCGCGUUCGAUUCAGGGCGUGUCGUUUCGGGUGAAUUACAGCAAUUUUGCGAAUCGCAUGGCGCAAGCCGGCGAUGUUUCGGAUGAGUCUUCGCCCUGUUAGAUGUCGACGGUAGUGUCGUGGACUACCGUGUCUUUGAUGGGUGACGGGGGAUUAGGGUCCGAUUCCGGAGAGGACGCCUGAGAAACGGCGACCAGAGCUAAGGCUCGCAGCAGGCGCGAAAAUUACCCAAUGGGGACACCCUGAGGUAGUGACGAGAAAUAGCUAGGAGAGCGGCUAUGCCGUUCUUUAUAGGAAUGAGACAAAUUUAAACACCUGGACGAGGAGCAAAUCGAGGGCAAGUCUGGUGCCAGCAGCCGCGGUAAUUCCAGCUCGAUGAGUGUAUUUUAUUGUUGUUGCAGUUAAAAAGCCCGUAGUUGGAGUUAAAGGCACGCCGCCGAGGCCACAGUUGUGGAUCGAGGCGCGCGCGUCUUUCUAUUACCAGUUCUCACCGGGGCGAUUGAUUUCGUCGCGGGUCACUUGUGGCGCGAGGUCUGGUUAGUAUACUGUGAACAAAUCCAAGUGUUCCACGCAGGCAUUAUCGCCCGCAGGUUUCAGCACAGCAUAUUGAAACAUGCCAAGGCAGUUUUUACUGGUCUUAACUGCCAGGGAAUGAUAAAGACGAACGAUUGGCGUAGAUUGUACUCUCGCGGGGACUGGUGAAAUGGGGUGAUCCCGAGAAGACAACCGGCUGCGAAGGCGUUCUACGAGCGCGUUUCGAUUAAUCAAGGACGAAAGCGAGGGGAGCGAAGAUGAUUAGAGACCGUUGUAGUCCUCGCCAUAAACGAUGCCGACUGGGUCUAGGAUUGAGUUUAUUCGACCUCUUCUGGGCUCAAAGGGCAACCUUUGAGUUUUUGGGUUCUGGGGAGAGUACGGCCGCAAGACUGAAAUUUAAAGAAAUUGACGGAAGGGCACCACCAGGGGUGGAACUUGCGGUUUAAUUUGACGCAACACGGGGAAACUUACGCGGUCCGGACAAAGUUAGGAUGAACAGACUGAAGCUCUUUUCUGAUUCUUUGGGUGGUGGUGCAUGGCCGUUCUUAGUUAGUGGCGUGAGUUGUCUGCUUGAUUGCGAUAACUAGCGAGACCGUUGCUGUUAAAUAGAGAGGCCAAGUCACUUUGUGACUAGGUCGACCUCUUCUUAACGGGACUGCUGGCGCAAGCCAGAGGAAGUUGGCGGCGAUAACAGGUCUGUGAUGCCCUUAGACGUCCGCGGCCACACGCGUGUUACAUUGGCGGUUUCAACAAGUCUUCCUAGCGCGAAAGCGCCUGGUAAUCUUUGAAAUGCUGCCUUCACUGGG